AGUGAACGCUGGCGGUAGGCCUAACACAUGCAAGUCGAACGGCAGCACAGUAAGAGCUUGCUCUUACGGGUGGCGAGUGGCGGACGGGUGAGGAAUACAUCGGAAUCUACUUUUUCGUGGGGGAUAACGUAGGGAAACUUACGCUAAUACCGCAUACGACCUACGGGUGAAAGCAGGGGAUCUUCGGACCUUGCGCGAUUGAAUGAGCCGAUGUUGGAUUAGCUAGUUGGCGGGGUAAAGGCCCACCAAGGCGACGAUCCGUAGCUGGUCUGAGAGGAUGAUCAGCCACACUGGAACUGAGAAACGGUCCAGACUCCUACGGGAGGCAGCAGUGGGGAAUAUUGGACAAUGGGCGCAAGCCUGAUCCAGCCAUACCGCGUGGGUGAAGAAGGCCUUCGGGUUGUAAAGCCCUUUUGUUGGGAAAGAAAAGCAGCAGGUUAAUACCCCGCUGUUCUGACGGUACCCAAAGAAUAAGCACCGGCUAACUUCGU
rnacentral:rRNA from 1 species